rnacentral:rRNA from 1 species
UUUUUAAUUCCUUUUUAGAUGAGCCUAUGUUAGAUUAGCUAGUUGGUAGGGUAAAGGCCUACCAAGGCAGUGAUCUAUAGCUGGUCUGAGAGGAUGAUCAGCCACACUGGAACUGAGAUACGGUCCAGACUCCUACGGGAGGCAGCAGUGGGGAAUAUUGGACAAUGGGCGCAAGCCUGAUCCAGCUAUGCCGCGUGAGUGAGGAAGGCCUUAGGGUUGUAAAACUCUUUCAGUGGGGAAGAUAAUGACGGUACCCACAGAAGAAGUCCCGGCAAACUCCGUGCCAGCAGCCGCGGUAAUACGGAGGGGGCAAGCGUUGUUCGGAAUUAUUGGGCGUAAAGGGCAUGUAGGCGGUUCGGUAAGUUAAAGGUGAAAUGCCAGGGCUUAACCCUGGAGCUGCUUUAAUACUGCCAGACUCGAGUA